UACAGAGGGUGCGAGCGUUUAAUCGGAAUUACUGGGCGUAAAGCGUGCGUAGACGGUUAUUUAAGUCGGGUGUGAAAGCCCCGGGCUCAACCUGGGAAUUGCAUUCGAGACUGAAUAGCUAGGGUACGGUAGAGGGAAGUGGAAUUUCCGGUGUAGCGGUGAAAUGCGUAGAUAUCGGAAGGAACAUCAGUGGCGAAAGCGACUCCUGGACCAGUACCGACGUUCAGGCACGAAAGCGUGGGGAGCAAACAGG
rnacentral:rRNA from 1 species